rnacentral:rRNA from 1 species
AUGGACGAGUUCUCAUAUCAUUCUGAGAUCUCAGAUCUGUCAAGGAAAAGAGCAAAACCGAGAAGAGACAAACCUAGAGAUGAAUCUGCUACACGUAUUUCGAAUGUAAUAAUGAACCCAGUAGUUGCGCACAGCUAUGGAGUACAUGAAGACCAACUGUGCGCUGCACAAAAGAAAGAACCAACUAAAGAGGAAUUAAUUGAAGUUCGGUUUGGAAAGCAAAGUUGCCAAAUGAUUAAUGAAUUGCUAGCACCAGAAGGAGUCGCACAGUCGUACACACAACUCAUGAAACAGAUGACUCUCAUGAGUCAUCUUCAAAGUGACAACGUGACAAUCCCUAUAACAAGUUUCACUUCGCUCUUGACAACAGGCAUGGAUGCUCAAGAUCACCACAAAACAACAGACCCAAUAACAAGCAACCAUCAUAAUGAAGAUGCAGCUAAUGAGGAUAGUUCUGAAUGCAAUAGUGAAGAUUACCUGGACUGCGGUAGUAAUGAGAAUGAAACUGAUGCAAAGGAAGAUUACCUAGAGCAAAAUACAGUGAGUUGUGAGCAGUUGUCUGCAGAUCAUGAGUAUUCAGAAUUGCAGCAAGUAGAGCAGAGUUGGCACAACUCUGUUUCCGAUGUUGUGCAAGAAAUGUUGAUUAAUCAAGAAGAACAGAUAGCAAAUAUCAAUGAGCCAGCAUUGCAAGGUCCUGAUUAUGCGAAAACAACUAAUAUAGAUGGCACACGUGGGAGUGACGAAUCAGAGUUUGAAACAGAGAAACAACAAUAUGAAGAAGCACAUAUAAACAACUUUGAUCUUGAUAGCAGUGAUGAGUUGCCAGAAUCAGACCAACAAGAUGAGAGCAUGCAUGUAUCAGGCAGUCAUGACAUUGGACACCAACAUGAUGAGGCCAACAAUAAAUCAAUCACAGAUGGGAAUAAGUUAUCUCAAGAAGAUAUUGAAUUUUUUCUUGAGAAUAAGGUCAUAGAGAAGGCAUUGAAACUAAGCCAAGAAGAUGAAAAGAAUCUCAUGCCAGCACUAAACGUGUCAUUUGAAAGUGAAACUGAUGCACACCGAUUCUACAAUGAAUAUGCAGCUAUCACAGGAUUCUCUAUACAGAAAGCUGCAAACUAUCACUGCCAAAAGAAAGAUGCUCACAACAACAAAAUGACAAGAUUUACUAUGAAGUGCAAUAGAUCUGGUAAACCUAGAAACAGGACAAAACCGACAGCAGCAGGAGCAAAAAGGAGAAAGAAAAAAAGGUGA